rnacentral:rRNA from 1 species
GAUGAACGCUAGCUACAGGCUUAACACAUGCAAGUCGAGGGGCAGCACAGUGUAGCAAUACACGGGUGGCGACCGGCGCACGGGUGCGUAACGCGUAUCCAACCUUCCCGAUACUCUUGGAUAGCUUUCCGAAAGGGAGAUUAAUACAAGAUGGUGUUUCACUUUCGCAUGUUAUUGAAACUAAAGAUUUAUCGGUAUCGGAUGGGGAUGCGUGACAUUAGAUAGUAGGCGGGGUAACGGCCCACCUAGUCUACGAUGUCUAGGGGUUCUGAGAGGAAGGUCCCCCACACUGGAACUGAGACACGGUCCAGACUACUACGGGAGGCAGCAGUGAGGAAUAUUGGUCAAUGGUCGGAAGACUGAACCAGCCAAGUAGCGUGAAGGAUGAAGGUUCUAUGGAUUGUAAACUUCUUUUAUACGGGAAUAAAACCUCCCACGUGUGGGAGCUUGUAUGUACCGUAUGAAUAAGCAUCGGCUAACUCCGUGCCAGCAGCCGCCGCAGUAA